rnacentral:sRNA from 1 species
AAAUUGCAUGAGGGAUAGAAGUGGAAAUCCUUUUUGUCCGCCGCGGCGGACAAAAAGAUUGAAACGGAUAGCCCGACCCGGA